UACGUAGGGGGCUAGCGUUGUCCGGAUUUAUUGGGCGUAAAGAGCGUGUAGGCGGCCAGGUAGGUCUGCUGUGAAAACUCGAGGCUCAACCUCGAGACGUCGGCGGAAACCAUCUGGCUAGAGUCCGGAAGAGGAGAGUGGAAUUCCUGGUGUAGCGGUGAAAUGCGCAGAUAUCAGGAAGAACACCCGUGGCGAAGGCGGCUCUCUGGGCCGAUACUGACGCUGAGGAGCGAAAGCGUGGGGAGCGAACAGG
rnacentral:rRNA from 1 species